UGGGCAGCGCUGCCCGGGGGAUGGAAUCACGCCAGGCCUCCGGCUACCCGCCCGGAGCCCGCAAUGAAGCGGUCUGCUCCGCGGGCCACAAGACGGAGCCCGUAACAGGAAUACGGAGGGGCCCUGGUGCCCUGUUUCCUUGCAAUCAGAAGAUACUCACGUCAAAAUCGUAAACCGGGAAGAAUCCCCAACCCCAUCACUUCAAUUCCCAACUCUGACCAUUUGGUAGUGGCUGCUGAGAAAACCGCGUGGAAAAUGGAAAAGACUGUGUUCAAUGGAAAAGAGUCUUCUGGUAUCUGUUAUGUUGUUUUGGGGUAGGAUGGGAGGAAGGCAGGGACAGUGCCACGUACUUGCCAUUCCUGCCCUCAGCCAGUGUCAUGAAGAAAUCAAGACAUGGAAAAAAUUGAGCAACUAAUCACCAUAUUACGCUGGAUAUUUCCCCUUUAAUAAAUAUCCUUUCGUUAA